rnacentral:rRNA from 1 species
GAUGAACGCUGGCGGCGUGCCCAAUACAUGCAAGUCGAACGCAUAGCGAAAGGUGCUUGCACCUUUCAAGUGAGUGGCGAACGGGUGAGUAACACGUGGACAACCUGCCUCAAGGCUGGGGAUAACAUUUGGAAACAGAUGCUAAUACCGAAUAAAACUUAGUGUCGCAUGACACAAAGUUAAAAGGCGCUUCGGCGUCACCUAGAGAUGGAUCCGCGGUGCAUUAGUUAGUUGGUGGGGUAAAGGCCUACCAAGACAAUGAUGCAUAGCCGAGUUGAGAGACUGAUCGGCCACAUUGGGACUGAGACACGGCCCAAACUCCUACGGGAGGCUGCAGUAGGGAAUCUUCCACAAUGGGCGAAAGCCUGAUGGAGCAACGCCGCGUGUGUGAUGAAGGCUUUCGGGUCGUAAAGCACUGUUGUAUGGGAAGAACAGCUAGAAUAGGAAAUGAUUUUAGUUUGACGGUACCAUACCAGAAAGGGACGGCUAAAUACGUG